rnacentral:rRNA from 1 species
GACGAACGCUGGCGGCGUGCUUAACACAUGCAAGUCGAACGCUGAAGCUUGGUGCUUGCACUGGGUGGAUGAGUGGCGAACGGGUGAGUAAUACGUGAGUAACCUGCCCUUGACUCUGGGAUAAGCCUGGGAAACUGGGUCUAAUACUGGAUACGACAUGUCACCGCAUGGUGGUGUGUGGAAAGGGUUUUACUGGUUUUGGAUGGGCUCACGGCCUAUCAGCUUGUUGGUGGGGUAAUGGCUCACCAAGGCGACGACGGGUAGCCGGCCUGAGAGGGUGACCGGCCACACGGGGACUGAGACACGGCCCAGACUCCUACGGGAGGCAGCAGUGGGGAAUAUUGCACAAUGGGCGGAAGCCUGAUGCAGCGACGCCGCGUGAGGGAUGACGGCCUUCGGGUUGUAAACCUCUUUCAGCACGGAAGAAGCGAAAGUGACGGUACGUGCAGAAGAAGCGCCGGCUAACUACGU